CCAUGACUUGAUUGCGCUCACCUUCCUUGGACCCAAACCAAGCCCAAAAUAAUGGAUUAGCCCUCAAGGCCCAAAUACCUAGGCCUCAAGAUCGUGGAGGGCUGAACGCCUCCACCUUAAGACCCAAUCGGUCACAAACCUGGGACCCAAUCAGUCCCAGACCCAUGGUACCAACUCCUAGGCUUCUCUCCUGAUCUCUCAUGGUUUGGGGGAGUACUACACCUGAGUCUACAAUCUCCACCUUGGUGCUCCAAAGUCAUUGCAAACUCAUCUAUGUCCUUCAGCCCCAUC
rnacentral:lncRNA from 1 species